UACGUAGGGGGCAAGCGUUGUCCGGAAUCAUUGGGCGUAAAGCGCGUGUAGGCGGCUCGGUAAGUCCGCUCUGAAAGUCCAGGGGCUCAACCCUGGGAUGCGGGUGGAUACUGCCGGGCUCGAGUCCGGAAGAGGCGAGUGGAAUUCCUGGUGUAGCGGUGAAAUGCGCAGAUAUCAGGAAGAACACCCGUGGCGAAAGCGGCUCUCUGGAACGGUACUGACGCUGAGACGCGAAAGCGUGGGGAGCGAACAGG
rnacentral:rRNA from 1 species